UGUGUGUGUGUGUGUGUGCAUGUGUGUGUGUGUGUGUGUGUGUGUGUUUGGCACACGCCAUGUACUCUCUUGUGCAGGUACUACACGAAUGCGAAACGCGACAAACCCUACAACGUCAUUAGCCUGGAGUUCACCAAGACUAAGUUGGAGCCUCAAGUGGAGUCACCCAGUCUGAUACGGAUGCAGCGAAGCUCUCUCCGGCGCCCACAUGCGCCGAGAUCCCACAGCUGUCAACGGAUGACACUGCAGCCCAGUCGCCAGCGACAGCGGCAGCUGCUGCUGCUGCUUCGUCAGGAGACGGGAACAGCUCACAAGGCGGCAAGCCACCUCCAUCACCGCCAUCCUGCCCGUUCUCGGACAUGGCCUGUCUCAGCUCGUAUGAGAUUGAUGGCUUGCGACGGCUGCUGGCCGAGCUGAACGUUUCCACGACGAUGGUGAGGGCGUGUCCCGAGGAGCUGGGGGAUCCUGGGGAGCUCAUGUCGACCGUGGAGGUAAGUUGUCGUGUGUGAUGUGUGGGUAAAACCGAAGUUACCGAAAAUAAAUCUCCACCGAAAUUUUCCGGUUUUACAGUAGCCUAUCUUCAGGGACAUAUAAUAACUAUUGGCGUAGAUUUGUGUUAUCGUUUUGCCUUGUAUUCUCUUGUCAAAUGUACACCGUAGAUUCUGUUGAACGAGUAUGAAAGCCAGUAUUCUCCUCUGCAAUGUACAAGCAUUUUCCUGUGCAAUGUAUGCUGUAUAUUCUGUUGAAUGAGUAUGAAUUCUGUUGAACUAGUAUGAAAGCCGAUUUCGCGAGGACAAGGCCACUGGAUAUUUAAUGCUCAUACCGGGAAUACAAUCUGAAGUAUGGUGUGGUGAAUUGCUGUGUGGUACUGAUGCUGCUGCUAUUGCUGCUAAUAGUGCAGCUAUUGCUGCUGCUGCUUCUGCUGUUGCUGAUGUUGCUCUCCUCUCCAUCCCCACCAUCUGCCUCUGGAAUAUUUGACAGUGGCAACAUGUACAUGUACAUGUAGUAACAGGUAUAUGUUCAUGGUGUUUCUUUCCUUCUGCGUGUGUCGCCCGCACCAAUACCUGACAACAUUGUGGAAAUAGUGGCAGUUGAAACAGAGAUUGUAUGCAAGUCCUCAGCUGCUACUGCAUCUCCAAGAAAGACAGCAGGUAUAUCAUCUCGUGACGACCACAUUGAAGUCUGAAUUUGAAGUGCGAAGAUGCUUCAGCAAGCACAUCGUACUUUUCCAUUGCUUUCAUUGUGCUUCUACUGUGCAUGUGUGUAACUUGUGGGGUAUAUAUGUGAUGACAAUGUAUGCUGGCGACACGGUCAGAUUUUGUCCAUGCGUGUAACGUACACCUGCAUGUUAUGCAUUGAAAAGGAUCUGCCACUUGCGAUCCUGGGACAAGUAUCAGGUCAGCUUUGUCUUGUGUGGGCUGUACCAGAUUGCUGUUCACUUUUCCAUCUGUUGGAUAUGUGACUUUCUGCAAGUCUCUGGUGUAUGGUGGCCACUUCUUUGCUUGUCACUUUGUAUGAUAUUACAUUCUGUAUUCGCUGCUUCCAUGGCGUGGUCUGCAAACUGCAAUCCUUGGGCAAAUGUCAUGUUUGCUAUGUUGUGCUUUGGCCGUCAGCUUGUCUACACGUUGUAGUUGGAUUAUUUUGUUCCACAACUGACUUCCUUUUAAAAGUACAGUGGCCACUGCUUUGCAUGGCAUUUUA